UGUUGAAGUACUUUGACGAAUAUUUCCCAGACAGAGCCACUGACGCAGGGAUAUUUCCCAGCAGCUCAAUGAUAUGUGCUAGAUGGUCUGAAAUGUGAAUACUGCAUUGUGAUUUGUUUUAUUUAUCAUUUGGUGUGUGUGUGUGUGUGUGUGUGUGUAUGUAUGUGUGUGUGUAACAUUGUAUACCUUCUUCCAAAGAGAAAUUCUUUCCAGUUUUGGGCUCAAAUAACGGGUCACCAGUGGCAAGCUCAAAAGCCUAUUGGGAAAAAAAAAUGGAAAACAUGAAUAUGUGUCUUUGGACAUUUGGGCCAAAUUAUGACACAUUAGAAAUGAUUGCAGUAAAGGACAUCACAAAAAUGAUUUAUCCAGGUUAAACAAGAGGGGAUGCAUGGAACCAUUCAAGAGUUAAACUGAGGAGUCCCGCUAUGACACUUGGCUCAAUCGCCAGACCUGAACCUCAGUGCACAGAGCCUUCUAAUAAAGACUGUUGACAAAACGUCUACAAAACAAGCAGCAGAUGAAAACCGACUAGUGACUCACCAUGCAGGCUACACUCCAGAUAUCAGCAGGAGGCCCGUAAUCAGAACCCAGCAGAACUUCUAGAGCCCGAUACUGCUGGGUCUGGAUCUUCUCGCAGAAGUGCUUAUACUGAAACAUUUUAUUUCAAUGUAUGUUGGAUGGGAAUGGUUGCCCUUACAUUUCUUUUAAAUUGGAGGAGUUGGAAUGCAGUAUUGUCCUACAAAGAAUAUAUGAAGGAUUACACUCACCACCCAGCAGGAGCUGCCCAGGCUGCUGCCCCAGACAGAGCAGAAUGUUCUCAGGCUUGAUGUCUGCAUGGAUGAUCUUACAGUGUGUGUGUAGAUAGUCAAGACCCUCAAGCACCUGGGAAUAAAUUGAAGCGAGGCUGGGU